rnacentral:rRNA from 1 species
AGAUUGAACGCUUAGCGGCAUGCCCUAAACACAUGCAAGUCGAGGCGGCAGCGCGGGGGCGACCCUGGCGGCGAGCGGCGGACGGGUGAGUAAGGCAUCGGAAUCUGCCCUGAAUGUGGGGGUAUAACGUAGGGGAAACUUACGUCUAAUACCGCAUACGACCGAGGAGGUGAAAAGCGGGGGACCGAAAGGCCUCGCGCAGCAGGAUGAGCCGAUGUCCGAUUAGCUAGUUGGUUGGGGUAACGGCCUACCAAGGCUACGAUCGGUAAGC